GAGGAAGUUUAAUCAUUACUGAUUGGACGUCGCAGAGGAAGUUUAAUCAUUACUGAUUGGACGUCGCAGCGGUGCUGGGGGGCAAAGGCUCCUCCUCCGGCUGGUGCUGCAUUGUGUGUUGAGGUACGUUGGUCCUUUGUUUGUUGUAGCAGGCUAGCAGCUCACGUAUUUAAUUAACCGCCCGAUGGCUGGUAGUCCUAGUGUUAAUCCCCUUCGUUAACAAUGUGCCAAGUGUAGUCUAGGAUGUAGAGAUAGAUUGGGGGGUAAAAGGCCAGAUGGCCCUUCAUUCUUUUUCUCCGUCAGUCCAGUCAUGUAUGUAAUCCCUUGAUAAAGUUUUAUCAAUUGCGAUGAUGCCGAAAUCUCCCUCAGUUGAGUCAUGUAUCUAAACUAAUCUAUGCUAAAGUUUAUCAAUGCAAUGACGAUGACAGAUCGUCUGGUUCGUU
rnacentral:lncRNA from 1 species